GAAAAAUGGCACAAACUUGCCAGACAAGUAUUUUAUUGACCUUGUUCGUAUUUAUUCUAAUUGAUUACUUUCAGGGAAGAAAAUGUCAUAACUUUGGAGGGUGACAAUAUCUUUGAUUAUUUUAAAAGUUUUACUUCAUUUCACAAAUCAUUCUUCUGUAAUUUCUAUGGUUUUCUUAGUAUUAUAUCUGGAUAGUACACUUUCACUAACUGUAUGCUUUCUUACAGUCUGUAUUUUAUAUACAGUUGUUGGUAUACCACUUAUGACCUUUUCUAUCUAGGUAAAGCAUUGCCAAGAUCUUCACAUAAGAUGAUUUUCUAACCAAGUCAUCCUUCUCCUUUUCAUCUGAAAUAAUUUUAUGUUUUUUCAUUUAACCUAUUUCCAGUUAUCAAUAUAUAUAUUUUUUGAGACGAGUUCUAGUUCUAUUGCAUAAGCUAGAGUGCAGUGGCACGACCAUAGCUUACUGCAGUCUCAAACCCCUGGGCUCAAGCAAUCCUCCCACCUCAGCCUCCUGAGUAGCUGGCCCUAUGGGUGCAUUUCACCAGGCCCAGCUAAUUUAUUUUAUUUAUUUAUUUAUUUAUUUAUUUAUUUAUUUAUUUAUUUAUGUCUUUUGUAGGAAUGGAGUCUUGCCAUGGUGCCCCAGCUGGUCUUGAACUUCUGGGCUCAAACAAUCCUCUUGCCUGUGCCUCCCACAGUUAUCAAUAUUGAAAGCCAGUUACUGAUGAUAAGAUAGCAUGCAUAAUUUAUCUCUGACAGUAUUUCACAACAUUAAAUCAGCUUGGGGAAUAUAAAAGGACAUCAUAACUGUAAUUCUGAAAGAUUCCAGGAAAAGAAAGAUGGCUGUGUGAAAACAUGUACUUGGUCUGAGAAUGACAAAGGGUAAACAUAUAAAAAAUUAGAAAUCUUUAGAAAUAAGUGCUACAAAUUGAUUUACUGAAGUGGUAGUCUAAUUUUGCUCUUUUGCAAGAAAAAUAUCUAACAAAUAUCAAGUCUAUAUAGCUUGUCAGUUGCUUUUUCAGAUACAGUCAUGUAACAUACAACCAUAAUUUGGUCAAGAAUUGACCACAUAUACUAUGGUGGUUUCAUAAAAUUACAAUGGAGCUGAAAAAUAUCUGUUGCCUAAUGAUUACUUGAUGAAAAGUAUAUAGAAAAGGAAUACAAAAAAGAAAAUAUUUUUCUAUAGCCAUAGAACCGUGCUUUUUAAGGUGUUACUGUAAAAGAGUCAAAAGUUUUAAAACUUUAAAAUUUAUAAACCUAAAAAUGUUACAGUAAGCUAAGGUUAAUUUAUUAUUAAAGAAAGAAAAUUAUAAAAUAACUUCAGUGAAGUCUAAGCUUACAGUGUUUGUAAAGCCUACAGUAGUUAGUGUACAGUAAUAUCCCAGGUCCUCACAUUCACUCACCACUCACUCAGAGCUUUAGUCCCGUAAGCUUCAUUCAUGCUAAGUACCCUAUACAAGUGUAGCAUUUUUAAUCUUGUAUAUCAUAUUUUUAGUGUACCUUUUCCAUGUUUAGUCUUGUUUAGAUGUACAAACACUUACCAUAGUGUUACAAUUGCCUACAAUAUUCAGUUCAGUAACAUGCUAAACAGGUUUGUAGCUUAGGAGCAAUAGGCUAUACUAUAUAGCCUAGGUGCAUAGUAGAAUUUUCCAUCUAGCUUUGUUUAAGCACACUCUAUAAUAUUCACACAAUGAUGAAAUUGCCUAAUUUGGGGGACGUAUGCUAUGUCCUCUGGAUAAAUAAUUUUCUAUUUCUAAAUUAAAACCCUAGAGAGUGACCAUACAUCUUAGUUUGCCUGUGAUAUAACUUGUUCAUAUCACAUGUAUUAAGCCACCUUAAUGUUUAUAAAGACUUUUUUAUUCUUAGUGUCCUGGUAUAGAAAAUGAAUUAUCUGCUUAUCGUCCAUGGUAGACUGUAUUUAUGUGAGUAAAAAUGUAAUAUAAAAUACAUACUCUGCAGCAGAGAUACUAGAGACUGCCUGCCAUAAAGUAAUUGCUCUUUACUGAAUAAAAUGUGUGUGUUUCCAAAUAAAAAUUUAUGUGGAUUAGACCACAGUCUGAGCAUGUGUUGUAACAGUGGAUGCAAAUCACUAUAUGGCUAUUGCAUAAACUUCAUUUUCUGAAAAUUUGUGUGUGUAUUUUACAAUUCUUUGGAAACUGAAUAAAUUUUGCAAAUAAAUAUUUUUUAAAAUAACAGAAUUCAUCAUUUUAAGAUAAGCUUCUAUUCUUUAUAUUUUUAAGGAAAAUAUUACCAAUUAAUUCACGACCUGCC
rnacentral:lncRNA from 1 species